rnacentral:rRNA from 1 species
GAUGAACGCUGGCGGCGUGCCUAAUACAUGCAAGUCGAGCGGACCAAAGAGAGCUUGCUCUCUGAGGUUAGCGGCGGACGGGUGAGUAACACGUGGGUAACCUGCCUGUAAGACGGGGAUAACUUCGGGAAACCGAAGCUAAUACCGUAUGAUAAAGAGAAACGCAUGUUUCUUUUUUGAAAGUCGGCCUUGGGCUGACGCUUACAGAUGGGCCCGCGGCGCAUUAGCUAGUUGGUGAGGUAACGGCUCACCAAGGCGACGAUGCGUAGCCGACCUGAGAGGGUGAUCGGCCACACUGGGACUGAGACACGGCCCAGACUCCUACGGGAGGCAGCAGUAGGGAAUCUUCGGCAAUGGACGAAAGUCUGACCGAGCAACGCCGCGUGAGCGAUGAAGGCCUUCGGGUCGUAAAGCUCUGUUGUCAGAGGAGAACAAGUACCGAAGUAACUGCCGGUACCUUGACGGUACCUGACCAGAAAGCCACGGCUAACUACGUGCCAGCCGCCGCCGUAA